rnacentral:rRNA from 1 species
UGAACGCUGGCGGCGUGCUUAACACAUGCAAGUCGAACGGGGGUGCCAUUUUCGAGGUGAUUAGUUUACUAAGAGCCAAGAUGUUGGUAUCUUAGUGGCGGACGGGUGAGUAACGCGUGGGUAACCUGCCUUAUACAGGGGGAUAACACUUAGAAAUAGGUGCUAAUACCGCAUAAGCGCACGGGGCUGCAUGGCCCAGUGUGAAAAACUCCGGUGGUAUAAGAUGGACCCGCGUCUGAUUAGCUUGUUGGCGGGGUAACGGCCCACCAAGGCGACGAUCAGUAGCCGGCCUGAGAGGGUGGACGGCCACAUUGGGACUGAGACACGGCCCAAACUCCUACGGGAGGCAGCAGUGGGGAAUAUUGGACAAUGGGGGGAACCCUGAUCCAGCGACGCCGCGUGAGUGAAGAAGUAUUUCGGUAUGUAAAGCUCUAUCAGCAGGGAAGAAAGAAAUGACGGUACCUGACUAAGAAGCCCCGGCUAACUACGUGCCAGCAGCCGCGGUAAUACGUAGGGGGCAAGCGUUAUCCGGAUUUACUGGGUGUAAAGGGAGCGUAGACGGUUGUGCAAGUCUGAAGUGAAAGGCGGGGGCCCAACCCCCGGACUGCUUUGGAAACUGUAUAACUGGAGUGCANGAGAAGUAAGUGGAAUUCCUAGUGUAGCGGUGAAAUGCGUAGAUAUUAG